GUGUUAGCAAAAUCUAACGCCAGCCGUCAGAAGCUGAAUUUACCAAAGGCGAACAGCACGCCCAAAGCGUGUUUUUU
rnacentral:sRNA from 2 species